GGCAUAUCAAUUAAGACUCUGGUUGAAGGUGACAGGUUACAAGGCUGAUUUUUUGAAAAUGGCUGUUUUCCAGAAACAAUUUUCCUCACUCCUGCAACAUCCUUUCUUUCCUGCUUUGGAUGUCUUAAGAAAAAUUUGCAACAAGAGGUGGCAGCCAUACUUCACAAUCUGAUGCUCCAGGAGCAGUUUUCUGGAUGUAAGAAGAGUUUUCUCUAAGGACUAGAGGACUUCUUAUCCCAGAGCAGCCUCAGCUUGGGAAUACAGGAGUAUUCGUUUCCCACACCUGUAGUGGACAGAAGUGGAAGAACAAAUGUCACAGCUUUCUAGGCUUCAGUGGGACAAAGUUCUGAGACGUUUCACAAGAUUCCCAGAUGGCUCCUGGGGGGUUGAGCCUCAGCUGCUCACCUCAAUGUUCAGCUCAACACCCCAGCUUUUAUUGACGGCUCUUCUACUAUCUUGCUUGCUGUCUCUGCUUCAUGGGAUACCCCUCUUGAUGGUUAAUUUUAUGUGUCAACUGACCUGUGAGAGAUUCUGCGUGAG